rnacentral:tRNA from 1 species
CGCUAUCGUCUAGAGGCCUAGGACAUAGCCCUCUCAAGGCUAGAACACGGGUUCGAAUCCCGUUAGCGGUAUGACCA